rnacentral:rRNA from 1 species
AACGUAUAUUAAAGUUGUUGCAGUUAAAAAGCUCGUAGUUGAAUUUCGGGGUUAGUAGGUUGGUCAUGCCUCUGGUAUGUACUGGUCUCACUGAUUCCUCCUUCCUGAUGAGCCGUAAUGCCAUUAAUUUGGUGUUGCGGGGAAUUUGGACUGUUACUUUGAAAAAAUUAGAGUGUUUAAAGCAAGCUAACGCUUGAAUACAUUAGCAUGGAAUAAUGAAAUAGGACGUUCGAUCCUAUUUUGUUGGUUUCUAGGAUUGACGUAAUGAUUAAUAGGGAUAGUUGGGGGCAUUAGUAUUCAAUUGUCAGAGGUGAAAUUCUUGGAUUUAUUGAAGACUAACUACUGCGAAAGCAUUUGCCAAGGAUGUUUUCAUUAAUCAAGAACGAAAGUUAGGGGAUCGAAGACGAUCAGAUACCGUCGUAGUCUUAACCAUAAACUAUGCCGACUAGGGAUCGGAUGAUGUUAAUUUUUUAAUGACUCAUUC